GCAUGGCGACGGGGCCGGCGUGCACUCCACGCUGCAGUCGCUGACGAGGCGCACCGCCGGCGACACCCAGGACACCCAGGACGCCGCCGGGAAGGACACGGGGUUGGAGUGUUCAACAUUCCACACGCCUGAAGACAAGUCCGUGCCUCAGGGAUACGGGGAAGACCAGCUACGUCUGACGUAUGACGACGUGUGACGACGUGUGACGACGCGUGACGCUCCGUGACGCUCCGCUCCGUGACGCUCCGUGACGGCGUCGUGGCGAAGCACGAAGUCCUGGCAGGCAGUGGCAGUGAUAGCACCCCUCCUGCGGCUCGGCCGGCCAGGCCCGGAGGUCUUGAUAACGUGUCGCAGAGUGUGGCGUUCUCCAAGCCGCGUGGGGAGGGGGACGAACGGGAACAGAAUAUUUCUUUGUAAUUGUUGUUUUGAAAAAAUAAACGAUGGUGGCCUGUCAACCACAGGCGCUUACAGUUGAGAGA